CCUUCGAUAGCUCAGCUGGUAGAGCAUAGGACUGUAGAUCCAUAGGUUGUUGGUUCAAUUCCGGCUCGAAGGA